UACGUAGGGUGCGAGCGUUGUCCGGAAUUAUUGGGCGUAAAGAGCUUGUAGGCGGUCUGUCGCGUCUGCUGUGAAAAUCCGGGGCUCAACCCCGGACUUGCAGUGGGUACGGGCAGACUAGAGUGUGGUAGGGGAGACUGGAAUUCCUGGUGUAGCGGUGAAAUGCGCAGAUAUCAGGAGGAACACCGAUGGCGAAGGCAGGUCUCUGGGCCACUACUGACGCUGAGGUGCGAGAGCGUGGGGAGCGAACCGG
rnacentral:rRNA from 1 species